rnacentral:rRNA from 1 species
UACGUAGGGUGCGAGCGUUAAUCGGAAUUACUGGGCGUAAAGCGUGCGCAGGCGGUUUUGCAAGCCGGAUGUGAAAUCCCCGGGCUCAACCUGGGAAUGGCAUUCGGGACUGCAAGGCUGGAGUGCGGCAGAGGAGACUGGAAUUCCUGGUGUAGCAGUGAAAUGCGCAGAUAUCAGGAGGAACACCGGUGGCGAAGGCGGGUCUCUGGGCCGAUACUGACGCUGAGGAGCGAAAGCAUGGGUAGCGAACAGG